CCCUUAGAUGUCCUGGGCUGCACGCGCGCUACACUGACACAUUCAACGAGUAUAUCCUUCUCCGGUGGGAGUGGGUAAUCUUGUCAACGUGUGUCGUGAUGGGGAUAGAUUAUUGCAAUUAUUAAUCUUAAACGAGGAAUUCCUAGUAAGUGCAAGUCAUCAGCUUGCGCUGAUUACGUCCCUGCCCUUUGUACACACCGCCCGUCGCUCCUACCGAUUGGGUAAUCCGGUGAAUUAUUCGGACUACGAUAGCGGAGGUUUCGGUCUUUGCUGUUGUGGAAAGUUUAGUGAACCUUAUUACUUAGAGGAAGGAGAAGUCGUAACA
rnacentral:rRNA from 1 species